UACAGGGGGUGCAAACGUUGCUCGGAAUCAUUGGGCGUAAAGCGCACGUAGGCGGUCUGUUAUGUCGGAUGUGAAAGCCCUCGGCUUAACUGAGGAAGUGCAUCCGAAACUGGCAGGCUAGAGUACCAAAGAGGGUCGCGGGAAUUCCCGGUGUAGAGGUGAAGUUCGAUAGAUAUCGGGAGGAACACCGGUGGCGAAGGCGGCGACCUGGGUGGAUACUGACGCUGAGGUGCG
rnacentral:rRNA from 1 species